UAGGGAAUCUUCCGCAAUGGACGAAAGUCUGACGGAGCAACGCCGCGUGAGUGAAGAAGGAUUUCGGUUCGUAAAACUCUGUUGUUAGGGAAGAAAAAAUGUAUAGUAACUAUAUACAAAAGAGACGGUACCUAACCAGAAAGCCACGGCUAACUACGUGCCAGCAGCCGCGGUAAUACGUAGGUGGCAAGCGUUGUCCGGAAUUAUUGGGCGUAAAGCGCGCGCAGGUGGUUUAGAAAGUCUGAUGUGAAAGCCAACGGCUCAACCGUGGAGGGUCAUUGGAAACUAAUAAACUUGAGUGCAGGAGAGAAAAGUGGAAUUCCUAGUGUAGCGGUGAAAUGCGUAGAGAUUAGGAGGAACACCGGUGGCGAAGGCGACUUACUGGACUUGAACUGAAGCUGAGGCACGAAAGCGUGGGGAGCAAACAGG
rnacentral:rRNA from 1 species